AUUGAACGCUGGCGGCAUGCUUUACACAUGCAAGUCGAACGGCAGCACGAAAGAGCUUGCUCUUUUGGUGGCGAGUGGCGCACGGGUGAGUAAUGCAUCGGAACGUACCGAGUAAUGGGGGAUAACUGUCCGAAAGGAUAGCUAAUACCGCAUACGCUUUGAGAAGGAAAGUGGGGGCUCUUCGGACCUCACGUUAUUCGAGCGGCCGAUGUCUGAUUAGCUAGUUGGUGGGGUAAAGGCCUACCAAGGCGACGAUCAGUAGCGGGUCUGAGAGGAUGAUCCGCCACACUGGGACUGAGACACGGCCCAGACUCCUACGGGAGGCAGCAGUGGGGAAUUUUGGACAAUGGGCGCAAGCCUGAUCCAGCCAUGCCGCGUGUCUGAAGAAGGCCUUCGGGUUGUAAAGGACUUUUGUUAGGGAAGAAAAGGAUAGUGUUAAUACCAUUAUCUGCUGACGGUACCUAAAGAAUAAGCACCGGCUAACUACGUG
rnacentral:rRNA from 1 species